CCCAUUUAGAGCUGGGGCCUGAGGCUACGAGGUGGCGCAGGCGGUCAGUGGCCACGCCCUGACUUUAAAGCCGAGGCCCGUAGACCGCGUCUACAAGCACAGAAAGCAAGCGGCAGGCCCCGGCUGACCCCGGACACCAGACCCAGCUGCAUCCGCGUACGCAGAGCACUGGAGUGGCCGUGUCUGUCUGUCCGGGUACCGCAGCUCCGCGGGACAGAUGCCCGGCCGCUGGUGAGUGAGGCCGCGGUGUCGUCAGCGGGCAGGUACGGGGUCCACCGGGAAGGGCAGCUUAGGAAGUUAGGAAGUGGGAGCAGCAACCUGGCUCUGGCACCUGGAAGGCCGGGGCUGCGGGCGACUCUCCCGGUGCAGAGCUGGGGUCUCCGGGUUGGGUGAGAGGCUGGGCGCCCUGCGGGGGUCAGGCAGCCUUGUCUGCAGCACCGGUGUCUGCGUCAGGGCUGGUCAGGUGAUGGGAUGAUGGGCUGGAGUGGCUGUUACGUACUUCAGAGUGUUUAAAGCAGCAGAGCAGGGGACCUGUCUCCUCUCCCUCCUGCACCGGCAGCGUGCACACAUCCUGGUUCCCCCAGGCCAGGGGUGCGGCCGGGGGCUGGGGCGGGGCAGCUGCCCUCGGAUCGGAGCACUGCGGGGGCGGCUCCAGCAGGCGCCCUCAGGGCCCUCCCUCCUCAGGUCCUGGGCUCACCGUGAUCUGUCCCUUCGGGACGGAGUUCCCCGCGUGGCCGGCUGGAGCCCCGCGCUGGGGGCAGCGGCCACAGGAGGAGGGGACUGGAUGCCAGGUGAGUCAGUGCCCCCGAAGGUCAGACUCAUUUCUAGUUGUGAGAGUGAGGUUGACACCCAAAAUAAACCCCCGAGUGAUGCCCACCCUUUCAUGGAUGCAUGUGGAUGUUUUCAGUUUACCUGUAUCUUUACUAAAUUUCUGCUCUAAUGGGAGAGUUUAUUAAUUUAAUGUUUCUCUUUUUAAAUAAAUCUUCCCCUUUUUCAGUAACUAGACUAUACGGUGUACACGUUGUCUUGCCAGGUCAUGUUUAGUGAAGUGAAAAACUCAGAAAUCUGUUUUCUUCCUCUGAUGGCUGGGAACGCAGAGUGCUCUGGAGCGGAGCCCGCCCGUCCGGGGCCUGCAGCCCUCCCCGCAGCCCGGCCGAGCCCAGCUACGCAGAGCAAGGAAGCUGCACCGUGACACCCCGUCCCACACGACGGGAAGGGCCGCGGGAGCCGCUUUGACUUUCUGCCCGGGGGGCCCACGGUGAGGACUCACUCCUCUCUCACUGUGUGUGUGUGUGUGUAUUUCCCUCUUACUGUCGUGCGGUUUCAGUGUCAGGUGCCGGCCUGUGCAGGCCUGGGUGUCACGCUCUGUGCGUCUGUGUACCCUCCCCCCGCCCCCCCAAUUCACGUGCUGGCAUCCUGACCCCCAGCGCGACGGUGUCAGGAGGUGGCACGAGGGGCAGGUGACUAGGUCGUGAGGGUGUGGUCCCCUGAUGGGAUCAGUGCCCGGACAGGAUGCGGAAGGAGAGGUCCCCCCCCUUCCCCCUCCCAGGUGAGGCUGCGCCGAAUCUGCCUCCACUGUGACCCUGCUCCCAGCCUGCAGGUCUGCGGUGACCUGCUGAAUGAAGCAGCCGGGGCUGAGUCACUGGGUCCCCGUGACCUCAGCCUUUUCUCCCUGCGGCCCCCAACCCCCCAAGUCAGAAGUUUCCCAAAAUUAACCCAGCGUUAAAAUCCUCGGUUAUUAAAGAAAGGUGUUAAAGGUCAAGUCUUCUAAUCUGGAAGUGCCCUGUUGACAUUUUAUGUAGAAAAUUUUUACUUUGUAACCUUCAUAAUAUUUACUUGUUGUACUUCAAACAAAACCACAGUUGGAAGGGGACACAUUUCAGCCAGUUUCUUUGGUUUGUAUCGAGAUCACCCUCAGCUCUUUUCCAAGAAAUAUGGAGCCUAUUUGGUCCACCCCAAAGACUUUAUUUCUGCACACGACAGACCAAGAGCCAGGAACGUUGGCGCCAUCACAGAUUUUGUGCAGAAAGCCAAGCUUCAGAAAGUUCAAGGCCAGCCACGCCAGGACUCUCAUUUUCCAUCUUCCAGUAAUUGCUUGAUUGUCUCAAGAUGAAACAUGUAUUCACUUAAAAAAAAAAAAACUCAGAAAAACACCGCAUUCACUGAAAAUGAUGGUUUACACUUUAAUUUGGAGCCAGUUACCCAACCGUGGGUUAACCUUCGUCAGUUCGUCCUUUGCCGGCUGGGUGUUCAGCCCCCUCGCCCCUCAGCGCCCCCAGGUUCCCCCGCCCUUGUCACGGGGACAGGCCUGAGGCCCGGGAAGCAGGUGUCCCCGGGGGCAUCUCUGCGCUGCUGCUCAGCCCGGCCGCCCCGGAUCGCCUGUCAGAUGAACAGCCCGUGACAGUUAGCCCUCAUGAGAGGAUGUUUCCAGUCUGAAGCCGCUGACCUUUUUCAAAAUCAUCUUCGUUGACGGAGGGGAGACAGUGGCGGCGCGGGACUCAGCACCCUUCUCAGAAGCCGAGACCCCAGAAGUGUGCUCUUCGUUCCAUUUUAUGUUUAUCUUCCAACUUUUUAUUUUGAACUAAUUUCAAACUUAGAAAAAGGUUGGGAAAAUAGUAAAUACAGACAAACAAAACCCCAUACACCCCUUACCUGGGUUUACCGAUUCUUACCAUUUUGCCACACGUGUUUCACCCGUCUUCCCCCUGUCCCGUUACCCCUCGAUGCUGCGUGCGUGAGCCUAAGAGGGAGGACGUUCUCCUAAGUAACCUCAGUUGGUAUCAGCCAGAGAAACGGCACAGCCUGCACUUUGGUCUGACGUGCAGCCAGGUUCUUAGCUGGAUGACCGCCCCCCGUCCAUCGUCCCUGUCCUCGUUCUCCUGGCCUGGACGCAGCCCGGGACCCCUGCGGCCUUCGGGUGUCACGUCCCUCGGCCUUAGUCUUUGACAGCCUGGGUAUGUCGGAGGAAUAGCAGCCAGCUGUGCGGCGGAAGCCCCCGCAGGGUGGGCGGGGCGGGAGCUCUGUCGGGACUGGACUCAGGGACACGUCUUUGGCUGGAGAACCAGGAUGCCCUUGCGCUGUGUUUCCCUGUGCUGGAUUCACCCGUCUCUCCGAGGGCCUGGUUCUUCCGUGAGGAAUGGUGUCUGGAAAUCGGGAGAUGGCCGUCCAGCUGCCCCAACACCACGUGAUAAAAAGUCCGUCUUCUAUACUGAUUUGAGAUGCCACUCCUCUUGUGCUGGAUUUUCCUGGGCGCGUGGCUCCGUCUCUAGUCUUGGCGUCCUCUCCCGUUGGUCAUCGUUGGUCAGUCCAGCAGUUUUUCCAUCAUAGAGACGC